UACGAAGGGGGCUAGCGUUGCUCGGAAUCACUGGGCGUAAAGGGUGCGUAGGCGGGUCUUUAAGUCAGGGGUGAAAUCCUGGAGCUCAACUCCAGAACUGCCUUUGAUACUGGCAACCUUGAGUCCGGGAGAGGUGAGUGGAACUGCGAGUGUAGAGGUGAAAUUCGUAGAUAUUCGCAAGAACACCAGUGGCGAAGGCGGCUCACUGGCCCGGUACUGACGCUGAGGUGCGAAAGCGUGGGGAGCAAACAGG
rnacentral:rRNA from 1 species